CCAAAAUCAUAGAUAGAUAGAUAGAUUUAUUAUUUGUCCUUUCGGAAAAUUGUUCUGCGCCAUACAGUAGACAGUUAGACAAGACUGAAUACAAGACGGAAUUCCCCUCACCCCAACCGCCCCCACCCUACCACACUCCCACACAUACACAACAUCAGGGCAGAAGGCACAGACCCCACUACACAUUUAUAGAAUGAUAAAGUGCAGUUGUGCAUACUGUGAUAGUCCAGCUGGAAAGAAAGUGCAUGGUCCUGCAGGUAACGUCUUGUUCAUCAAUGUAAUGCUAGUUGGAAUGAAUUACCUACUGGCUCAAUUUGUUUGGAAAGAAGGUAGCCUGAACCUCCCUGAUGGCAACACCUCAUAUGCCUGGUGUAUGGGAUGUGACAUAUCUCUAUUAUUUGCAUGACCUUUCUUCAACACCCUUCUUUCACAGGUCGUAGCAAUACUGUCUGGUUUUUGCCCCUCAACCUUGCUGGCCAUGUUAACUAUCUUGCUCAGUUUGGUUUUUUUUGGUCACUGACAAAGAGAAAUACCAGGUAACACAACAAAAAAGUAGCAUGCUCUUCACAAAUGAAUGAUAGAAAAGUAAUAUAUCUCUAUCCACUCUAAAUUGUCUUAGUUUGCACAUAAAAUGCAGCCUCUGCAGCCCCUUUUUAUAGAUGGUGUUGGUAUUACUGUCCCAUUGCAACUUAUUAUCUAUUAUUGUGCCUAAGUACUUGUACUCGACUACAAUCACAACAUCCUCACCAUUUUUAACCAUACACUGGGGGGGCUGGCUCCCAGUUCUGUACUGUAGUCUAUUAUUAUUUGCUUUGUUUUCUGUAUAUUUAGAAGAUGACAGCUGGACCUACACCAUUUCGCGAAUUGAUCCACCCAGGCCCUGUAGUUGGUCUCCUCGCUAUUCUGUAUUAACCCCACUAUUGCUGUGUCAUCUGCAGAUUUUAUGAGGUAUGUAAACGUUCGAAAAACGCAGAAGAGCCCCGUAUAAGAGCCCCAGUGUGAUAGGCUGGUUGCUGUCAUGUGACACACGCCACCACAAGAAAGCGGAAACACAUUGUAGAGCCGUGUGGGGUAAGAUCCUUGCUCCUGAUAUCCCGAUGUAUGGGUUGCACUUCAUUAUAUGACUCCAACAGAACACUCACAGAAAGGAGAGUAGUAUCAAACUACAAGACAGCCAGCAUGUAAGCAAGGCCUUGUUUGUCCUUGUUUGGCUACUCAUUUGUCUACUUCCUGAAGAGGCUGAAGCAUGCUGGCCUCCUUGCUUCCAUUAACAGCUGUGUUAUGGAGUGCAUCCUCACAUCAUGGUCUACUGCAGCGGUGGAUACAGAGGACAAUUGGCAGGUUGUCAGCUGUUUGGUUAUCCCCAAAGCAGAAAGACAUGCCAGGAAGGAGCAAGGCAAAGCCCGGGGAUUUUUCUGCAGCUGUUCCUGCCCGUUAUAGAAGGACUGCUCCUGAGAAUAGAUGGGUGUCUACAUCGUUUUGCAAAAUGGGUCUUCUACACAUGAUGUUUGUCAAGCACUGCUCAUUGACUGGCCAGGGGUCCUCUGUAUUGUGACCACUGGUCAAAGGCGCCACAUGACUGUCUCAAAGUCCUCUACAUCAUUCCGGUGAUGGGACUUCUGGCCUAGUCUGACAGGAUGGGUCUUGUG